CUGCUUCAGCAGCAAAUAUGCGGAAAUUGGAACUUCACUGGACAUAGGGUUAGCACAGCUCCUGCACAAGGGUGAUGCACAAACCUGUGAGGCGUUCCAUGUGUUU
rnacentral:snRNA from 1 species